rnacentral:rRNA from 1 species
CAGUAGCCGCGGGAAUACGUAGGUGGCGAGCGUUGUCCGGAAUUAUUGGGCGUAAAGGGAGCGCAGGCGGGCGAGUAAGUCUUUCUUAAAAGUGCGGGGCUCAACUCCGUGAGGGGAGAGAAACUACUCAUCUUGAGUGCAGGAGAGGAAAGCGGAAUUCCUAGUGUAGCGGUGAAAUGCGUAGAUAUUAGGAAGAACACCAGUGGCGAAGGCGGCUUUCUGGACUGUAACUGACGCUGAGGCUCGAAAGCCAGGGGAGCGAACGGGAUUAGAUACCCGUGUAGUCCCUGUCUCUUAUACA